AUAUUGUAUACUUACUUAACGAGCAACGUGAAGUUUACUGUCUGUUCUUCUACUACAAUCUACUGACGCACGUGGUGCGUCGAUCCAGUCGUGUAACAACGUGGUACUACUGUUGCAAUUUUGAUCUCAGAAUGCAAGUGGAGACACGCCUACCCUCCACGUACAGUUUCCAGGAUACUGAAGUUUAAUAUGAGUAAGAGGAAAAAGAAGAUGAGAGAGGAAAAAGGACAGAUGGUCCCUCUAGAAAAUUGGACGCAGUCCAGAGGAAACGCUGAACAAGAGGAAAAUGUAACGCAAUAUACAAUGUAAUGAAUGGUACACCCAGUGUGUCGUUAAAAUAAUGUACACUCUUAACCUGUAUCUCUUUUAUAAAUACAGUGAUGCAACCUAGGCAUCUCGAUUAGCAACUUUCUCACAUUUUUAUUAUAUAUAUAUAUAUAUAUGUGAAAACAAUUUUCGAUAUUACUGUAAAUAUGCUGUAAAUAUGUUGAUCAUCAGUUUCGUCACAUUUUUAUAAUUAAUAUAUGUAAACGAUUUUCAGUGAUUUCUCGUCUUUCUGCCAUUAAAAUUCAAAGGCAGCGUUAUUCGUUCGAAAAGCGGAAUUCGAAACUUUAAAUAGAACGUUGUCAACGAUUUCAAAAUGUCUGUUCUGCAAACUACGAGAAUUUAAUUAUAUAAAAGGGUUGUUUCAAUGUACGGUCGAAAAGCACAAAGAAUUCGUAAGCAACAAUAGCGAAACGAAACAUUGUUAUCGAACAGUGGCCUGUCUCGCGUUAGAUUAAGCUGUCCGGUCUUUUCUAAGGCUGACCGUUGUAAUCUCCGCAAAUCGAGUUGCGGUAAACAAGUAUCUGCCUGAAAACCUUCAAUUACUACGUUCCAACCAAUUAAACCGAAACAUUUUCACCGAUUGUACAAGUAUAAUAUCACAUGCUUCUUACAUGCCUUGUAUGCCUGGGAAAGUCGAAUAAUUUGUUAAUUAAUAUCUAAAGUUUUAUCAUUCGAGUCUUCGUUGCGUUGAUUUGAUCUGUUAUUUUAUGCGAGAAGAACCAAAUUUAUGAAUUCUAGAAAUAAUAAAAUUUUUCUAUUUCAGACUAAUGGGACGCUUUUAGUUAAAUAUAACAGAAUCCUCUGACAACUC